UGGGGAAUAUUGGACAAUGGGCGCAAGCCUGAUCCAGCCAUGCCGCGUGAGUGAUGAAGGCCCUAGGGUUGUAAAGCUCUUUCACCGGUGAAGAUAAUGACGGUAACCGGAGAAGAAGCCCCGGCUAACUUCGUGCCAGCAGCCGCGGUAAUACGAAGGGGGCUAGCGUUGUUCGGAUUUACUGGGCGUAAAGCGCACGUAGGCGGACUUUUAAGGCAGGGGUGAAAUCCCGGGGCUCAACCCCGGAACUGCCUUUGAUAAUGGAAGUCUUGAGUAUGGUAGAGGUGAGUGGAAUUCCGAGUGUAGAGGUGAAAUUCGUAGAUAUUCGGAGGAACACCAGUGGCGAAGGCGGCUCACUGGACCAUUACUGACGCUGAGGUGCGAAAGCGUGGGGAGCAAACAGG
rnacentral:rRNA from 1 species